GUCUAAACGACUCUCGGCAACGGAUAUCUCGGCUCUCGCAUCGAUGAAGAACGUAGCGAAAUGCGAUACUUGGUGUGAAUUGCAGAAUCCCGUGAACCAUCGAGUCUUUGAACGCAAGUUGCGCCCGAAGCCUUCAGGCCGAGGGCACGUCUGCCUGGGCGUC
rnacentral:rRNA from 1 species